UACGAAGGGGGCUAGCGUUGCUCGGAAUCACUGGGCGUAAAGGGUGCGUAGGCGGCUUUUUAAGUCAGGGGUGAAAUCCUGGAGCUCAACUCCAGAACUGCCUUUGAUACUGAGAAGCUUGAGUCCGGGAGAGGUGAGUGGAACUGCGAGUGUAGAGGUGAAAUUCGUAGAUAUUCGCAAGAACACCAGUGGCGAAGGCGGCUCACUGGCCCGGUACUGACGCUGAGGUGCGAAAGCGUGGGGAGCAAACAGGG
rnacentral:rRNA from 1 species